GUAGUCAACGCAAUUGACUCUGUGGCCCAAUGGAUAAGGCGCUGGUCUACGAAACCAGAGAUUCUGGGUUCGAUCCCCAGCAGAGUCGUG
rnacentral:tRNA from 1 species